AUCCACCACUUCCAUUAGCACACUGGAUAGAAUCCAUCGAGCAGGACUAUGCUGGCUGAGGCUGAUGGGAGCUGGAAUCCAACAACUUCUGCAGGGUCACAGGUUCCCCAACCCUACUGCAGAGGGCAGCCCCACAGAGGAAGACAAUGUCUGAAAACUUUCAUCCUUCAGCCAUCACCUUUCUCCUGCCUGGACUGCACUAGGCACACAGUUUAUUUGCACAAUGCCUGAACCGUAAGUAAAA